rnacentral:piRNA from 1 species
UGCUUUUGGCCUGGACAC